GAAGCUCUAUAACUUUUUCCACAGCUGGGGCACCUGUUCAUAUCCCCUUUUCACUUUCGGUUAUUUUACUUAUUUUCAAAGUGUAUGAAACAUUCAGGUGGUUUCAAAAGGCAAAAUCAUACGAAAAAAAGUAGUGUCUUCUCCCAGCCUUGAAUUUUUUGAGACAAGGUCUCAAAGUUUCUAUGUAUCCAAAAAUGACCCCCAACUCCUAACCCUCCUGUCUCCCACCUCAAGUACUGUGAUUACUGGACCUAGCUACUGCACACAUCCUUCCUUUCUUUAAGAUAGUGUCCUGCUGUAUAGCCUUGGCUAGCCUGGAAGCUGGAGUGAUCUUCCUACCUCUGUCUCCUCAGUAUUGAGAACACAGGGAUAUGGCAUGGAAUCCUCUUCCUUCUCUCUUAUCUUUUUUGUUUGUUUGUUUUGAGAGAGGGUCUCUUUCUGUAACCUCGGCUAUCCCGGAAGUUGUUCUGUAGACCAGGCUAUCAGGCUCUGGCCCGGAACUCACAGAGAACUGCCUGCCUCUGCGCCCUGUGAUUAAAGGUGUACAACCCACCACCUCCACCACCUGAGAUAGUUUCACUAUGUAGCCAUGGCUAGCCUGAAACUUGCUAUGGAGCUAUGUAGAGUUUGAGGCCACCUGCCUAUGCCUCUCUAGUGCUGAGAUUCUCAGAGUUUGCCAUGAUACCUAGUAAAUCACAUCUAUUGAUUUAUUGAUUUGUGUCUUGAAUGAUUAUGACUGUGGCUGUCAUAAAACAGUAGACUACUUUUGGGAUGGACUCACUGUGUAGCUGUGACUUGCCUGCAACUCGCUUUGUAGACCAGGCUGACCUUGAAUUCACAGAUUCACUUACCUCUGUGCCAUGGUUUGAAUAUGCUUGGUCCAGCAGUGGCACUAUUUGGAGGCAUGGCCUUGUUGGAAUAGGUGUGUCACUGUGGGCCUGGGCUUUAAGACCUUCAUCCUAGCUGCCUGAAAGUCAGUCUUCCACUAGCAGCCUUCAGAUGAAGAUGUAGAACUCUCAGCUCCUCCUGCACCAUGCCUGCCUGGAUGCUGCCAUGCUCCCACCUUGAUGAUAACGGACUGAACCUCUGAACCUGGCAAUUAUCACAUUGUUGAAGCCUUGGCUGGUGCCUACACCCUCCCACACAGGACCUCACGCUCCCAU
rnacentral:lncRNA from 1 species